UGUAUAAUGGGUCAGCGACUUAUAUUCUGUAGCAAGGUUAACCGAAUAGGGGAGCCGAAGGGAAACCGAGUCUUAACUGGGCGUUAAGUUGCAGGGUAUAGACCCGAAACCCGGUGAUCUAGCCAUGGGCAGGUUGAAGGUUGGGUAACACUAACUGGAGGACCGAACCGACUAAUGUUGAAAAAUUAGCGGAUGACUUGUGGCUGGGGGUGAAAGGCCAAUCAAACCGGGAGAUAGCUGGUUCUCCCCGAAAGCUAUUUAGGUAGCGCCUCGUGAAUUCAUCUCCGGGGGUAGAGCACUGUUUCGGCAAGGGGGUCAUCCCGACUUACCAACCCGAUGCAAACUGCGAAUACCGGAGAAUGUUAUCACGGGAGACACACGGCGGGUGCUAACGUCCGUCGUGAAGAGGGAAACAACCCAGACCGCCAGCUAAGGUCCCAAAGUCAUGGUUAAGUGGGAAACGAUGUGGGAAGGCCCAGACAGCCAGGAUGUUGGCUUAGAAGCAGCCAUCAUUUAAAGAAAGCGUAAUAGCUCACUGGUCGAGUCGGCCUGCGCGGAAGAUGUAACGGGGCUAAACCAUGCACCGAAGCUGCGGCAGCGACGCUUAUGCGUUGUUGGGUAGGGGAGCGUUCUGUAAGCCUGUGAAGGUGUGCUGUGAGGCAUGCUGGAGGUAUCAGAAGUGCGAAUGCUGACAUAAGUAACGAUAAAGCGGGUGAAAAGCCCGCUCGCCGGAAGACCAAGGGUUCCUGUCCAACGUUAAUCGGGGCAGGGUGAGUCGACCCCUAAGGCGAGGCCGAAAGGCGUAGUCGAUGGGAAACAGGUUAAUAUUCCUGUACUUGGUGUUACUGCGAAGGGGGGACGGAGAAGGCUAUGUUGGCCGGGCGACGGUUGUCCCGGUUUAAGCGUGUAGGCUGGUUUUCCAGGCAAAUCCGGAAAAUCAAGGCUGAGGCGUGAUGACGAGGCACUACGGUGCUGAAGCAACAAAUGCCCUGCUUCCAGGAAAAGCCUCUAAGCAUCAGGUAACAUCAAAUCGUACCCCAAACCGACACAGGUGGUCAGGUAGAGAAUACCAAGGCGCUUGAGAGAACUCGGGUGAAGGAACUAGGCAAAAUGGUGCCGUAACUUCGGGAGAAGGCACGCUGAUAUGUAGGUGAAGCGACUUGCUCGUGGAGCUGAAAUCAGUCGAAGAUACCAGCUGGCUGCAACUGUUUAUUAAAAACACAGCACUGUGCAAACACGAAAGUGGACGUAUACGGUGUGACGCCUGCCCGGUGC
rnacentral:rRNA from 1 species